rnacentral:ncRNA from 2 species
UACGUAGGUGGCAAGCGUUAUCCGGAUUUAUUGGGCGUAAAGCGAGCGCAGGCGGUUGCUUAGGUCUGAUGUGAAAGCCUUCGGCUUAACCGAAGAAGUGCAUCGGAAACCGGGCGACUUGAGUGCAGAAGAGGACAGUGGAACUCCAUGUGUAGCGGUGGAAUGCGUAGAUAUAUGGAAGAACACCAGUGGCGAAGGCGGCUGUCUGGUCUGCAACUGACGCUGAGGCUCGAAAGCAUGGGUAGCGAACAGG